GUCUACAGCCAUGCUACCCUGAACAAGCCCAAUCCCGUCUGAUCUCGGAAGCUAAGCAAGGUCGAACCUGGUUAGUACUUGGAUGGGAGACCACCUACGAAGACCAGGUGCUGUAGGCG
rnacentral:rRNA from 1 species